rnacentral:rRNA from 1 species
UGGGGAUAUUGCACAAUGGGGCGAAAGCCUGAUGCAGCGACGCCGCGUGAGGGAAGACGGUUUUCGGAUUGUAAACCUCUGUCUUCGGGGACGAAAAUGACGGUACCCGAGGAGGAAGCCACGGCUAACUACGUGCCAGCAGCCGCGGUAAUACGUAGGUGGCAAGCGUUGUCCGGAAUUACUGGGUGUAAAGGGAGAGUAGGCGGGAUUGCAAGUCCGUUGUUAAAUCUAUCGGCUUAACCGGUAGCUGCGGCGGAAACUGUAGUUCUUGAGUGAAGUAGAGGCAGGCGGAAUUCCUAGCGUAGCGGUGAAAUGCGUAGAGAUUAGGAAGAACACCGGUGGCGAAGGCGACUUUCUGGACGACAACUGACGCUGAGGCGCGAAAGCGUGGGGAGCAAACAGGAUUAGAUACCCUGGUAGU